rnacentral:misc_RNA from 1 species
CAGAGCACACACGAAGUGCUGCGUUCCCGUUGCGCCUUCUCCACCUUUUUGUUUCUAUUUUGCAUCCACCGAAAGGCGUCCGUGCCGCAGCCCCUCACUGCUUUAUCUUGUGGGAGGUGCGCACCCACAGUCGAACCGCGCUUCUCAGUAUUCUCGCACCGCCCUGCAAACACACAGACACACACACAAACACAGACCGAAAGACACCUGCCGUGCAUAAUGUCCAUAUCCGUACGGAUUCGUACACCGAAGAGCAGCACACCGGAGCAGGUGGAGCUGAACUCUAGCGGAACUUGGGGCGAGGCUGCCGCGCUGCUGUCCCGGAAAUCGGAGGUAGCACUCGAGCGGCUGCGCGUGCUCGCCGGCUUCCCCCCAAAGGCGGUGGAUCUGGCCGCCGACAGCCCCCUUAGUGCACUCAAGCUGCGCGCUAAUGACAUGCUGAUUGUUCAAGAGGGAGAGGCCAAAGUGCAGCUCGGUAACAGAGGAGAGCGCUAUCUUCCCCCGGCCCCUGAGCGGGCCCACCUCACGCGCCGUCGAUGCCCAGCGGACAACAGCUGCCUUUUCCACGCCUGCGCCUACGUGCUGCGCGACAAGAGCCGCACCGAGGGGCCGCAGCUCCGGCAGGAGUGCGUGCAGGCCGUACUGGAUCACCCCGAAAUGUUCAACGUGAAUACGCUGGGCAUGGACCCGCUCGCGUACGCCUCGUGGCUUUCGGAGAAGGACACGUGGGGUGGCGCCAUUGAGCUGGAGAUACUGUCCUUUUUGUACAAGACGGAGAUCUUCGCUUUGGACCUGCAGUCGGUCACCUUGCAGCGCUUCGGCACAGGAAUGGGCUACACCGUGCGCGCUUUUCUCGUGUACACGGGCAACCACUACGACUGCAUUGCCAUGAACCCGGUGUACAACCCCACCUCCGAGCGCGAGGACCAGACGCUGUUCAGCAGCCGUGACGAGAACGUCUUGGCGCGGGCGAAGCGUUUCGUUGCUGAGGAAGGGCAGAAGAUGAAGGAGGGCAAGUCCAUAUAGAGGGCCCGCAGAGAGGGAGGGCGUGGCGGGGGGGGUGCAAGCCACCCCGAGACACUAUCGCGAUGUUCUUGGUGCGACAUGGCAUUUGUGAGCCGCCGACACGCAAGCCAAAGACAGCAUGUCUGUGUUUCUUUCUUUUUGCUUGGAUGUCUCCCGGCAGACGGCUGGUGUGCGCUGCGCAUCUGAAUCUAGCAUGGCUCUCCGUGCGUGACUCGCCUCUUCUCAUGGUUCGCCUUCGCCUUCUCUAUAAGAGCGCAAGAAAGAUCUUCGCAUGUACGGUGGACUUCGGGGGCUUUCUCCCUCCACCCAUUCCUGCAAGCAUGUGAGCUGCUCUGUGUUGGGCGACUACUCGUCUUUUUCACUUGUGUCGUGGUGUUUGUGGUGGCGUCUUUGCAUCACCUCCCAACCACCUAGGCGUUUGUUGUCUGCAUGCAUGGGGCGCCAUGGGGCGCUGUACGAGACUCACCGCGUUCACAGGCCCAUCGCUCACAUGCGGCGGGAUGAAAUGUGCGGAGACGAGGAGCACGCGUGUGGCACGCACUGAAUA